CGGUCCCGAGACCAGGCGAACCCCAGAAAAGAUGGAAACGUUUGAGAGGCCGCAGCAGAAAGCGGCUCUGCAGAGCGGCCUGCGCCAAAGCGCGCAAAGGGAAGAAUCUGAAGGACGUUUCUGUUAUUUUGUUGUUUGCAUGAAGCUCUGAGGAGGAAGAGGCGCUGGAAGCAUCUUCGGAGGGAACAAAAAACUCAAAUGUGAGGAAUAUGACUCCAUUUUUCUGCCUUUUAGCUGCACUUUCCCUCCAAAACACCAUUCACCACAAAUGAAACGCAGAAAAUCAAGAAAAGUUGAUUUUUGAGGCUUUAGUUUGACAGAAAGCUGCGUGUCUCCAGAACACGGAAAGGCCUUGGAGCCUUUUUAUUCCCCCACAGAGAAAUAAUAGUAAAAAAGAGAAGUUAAACUUAUCCAUUUUGAUGUUUAUUGUGAUCCCCUCCUCCCUGCUCUUUCUCUCCACACACAGCCUCAUGAAUAUUAAUGAGCUUUAAUCCCCAUUUAGAAUUACAUUUGAGGUUGGUUGACGUAAAGUUUAAUAGGGACAGACCUCCAACUCACUGCAGAAGAAAAAUGUGCUCCAGAAAGCUGCGGUCACUGAAUCCAUCCUGCUCCGUGUUGAUGUUUCUGAUGUGAUUUUAACCCCAGAAACAAACACGGAGCUUUUCUCUCUCUCUCUCUCUCUCUUUUUUACUGCUGCGGCCUGAGAAGCUGCUUCUGUGGAUUUCUGCAAAAAGAAAAAAAACAUCAAGUUGUGUAAAUGAGGCCUGAGCUGAAAGCGAGCUGAUGUUCAGAGAGAGAGGAUGGAAAUGACAUUUUUAUGUGAGGAAGAAGAGGAGGAAGAGGAGGAGGGAAUCAAAGUGGAGGCCGAGGGGACUUAAGAGGAGCACUUUGACAGAGAAACUUAGACAUCAAUAGUCAGGAAGGAACAAAGUGGUGUUGGAGGCCUGAUGCUGCUCUGAGGCACCUGAACGCACCUCUGUGAGCAGAAAUGACACAGAAAUGACACAAAUAAAUGUGAGGAUGAAGGAAGAGGUCCACGAAUGAUAGAUGUGGAGACUGUUCAACGCAGCUGCUGUUUUUUAUUUUAAUAUUUCAAACAUGUGAAGUCCGAGCAGCCAGAGGCCACAGCAGCAGCAGCUCCUCUUCACACGGCCUCCCUUAAAUUAUGCAGAAAGGCCAGUCAGUAAAUAUGGCCCUCACCACACAAAAGAGACGCUCAUUCUGACAUUUCCCUGCAUUUCUUGUUUUUUUCCCCGCUCUCGAUGUGAGUAAGACCCCGAGAUAAACCCCUGAACAAGUAUCAAGUUAUCAAGUUGCACCAACCUUUUGUAAUAAGAGUAUUUUGUCUAAUCCCAAAUUGCAGUUGAAUUUUCUUAAUGCUGAGCUGGUAAAGCCUGGGAUUAGGCGGCGAUGAGAGGAGGGGGAAAAGUUUUGUCCCUUCAGCCGGCAGGAUUGGAAGCGGGGAUCUGCGGGGAUGUUGUCGGUGCUUAUUAAAACGAUGAUGCAUAAAACACGGAGUUGCAGGAGCCGCGGCGCCGCACGCAGAGAGCCGGGCUCCCUCAGGUGCGGCUUGUUUGGACGACGGGAAGGAACGCAGAGGCCGAGCGGCGCAGCACCUGUGAGGUGAGGCCAGGAGACAUCAAAGCUCAGGAGAUAAUCCAUUCAGCUGAAGGAUCCUCAGCUGCACAGCCGCGCAGAGACGCCGCCGCCUUUUCUACGCAGCGCGUCGCUUUUAUUCACGGAAAAAAGGACUCGGAAUGUUUUUCACUCCCGGAACAGUAAAGCAGCCCGAGCGGCGCCGCAGAGGACACACUUCUCCUCCUUCUUGGCCAUCUUGCCUUUGUUCUGCUCCAGCGUCCUCUCCAGGUGCUCGUCCUCCUCCUCGGCCCUGCAGACGAGAGGCCACAGGUCACACACACACACACACACACACACAGGUAACGCCACCUGUGGAGCGGCGUGAUGCCAGGAGGCCGAGCCGCCACCUUUAACCCACCUGGAGCCAAUCCCACCUGAGCAGGUUGGUCCAGAUGUUUCCUCAGAGACGACGCUGUGUGUGUUCAGGUGUGUGUUCAGGUGUGUGUUCAGGUGUGUGUGUUCGGGUGUGUGUUCAGGUGUGUGUGUUCGGGUGUGUGUUCGUGUGUGUGUUCAGGUGUGUGUGUUCAGGUGUGUGUGUUCAGGUGUGUGUGUUCGGGUGUGUGUUCAGGUGUGUGUGUUCAGGUGUGUGUUCAGGUGUGUGUUCAGGUGUGUGUGUUCAGGUGUGUGUUCAGGUGUGUGUUCAGGUGUGUGUUCAGGUGUGUGUUCAGGUGUGUAACUCACUGCUUCUCCUGAGCGUCCAGGUCUCUGACCAGAGCGUCCCUCUUGUUCACCAGUAUGACCAGUUCAUCCAGCAGCAGCUGCUCUCGUCUCUUCUGGGCUUCGGUCUUCUGCCAGUCUGCAGGACAUCAGAGACACGUCAGAGACAUGUAAGAGACACAUCAGAGGGACAUCAGACCUUAGGAGCUUCUAGAGCUCUGAACACACAGGGAGGAAAAGUUGGACUCUACAAGGUUCUACAAAGUCCAGUCUGAGCUUCUCAGAUCCUCCUGAAGACACGAUGCACGGAGACAGUUUGGUGGAGGUUCUGAUGAAGCUGCUGGACUGAGGAGACCAGAACAGCUCCUCAGACUGGACCAGAACUAACACCAGAAGGAUACGAUCAUUUAAUGUGAAGCUCCAUGAUCACAGACUGAUGGAAGAGGAGCUGCUGGAGAAAGUCCUCAAUGAGAACUUUAGAAAAGGAGACCAGCAGGUUGUGUUCUGGUCAGUUUGGUUUUUGUUUGAGGAUAAAAUGAGAAAAAAAACUCUGAUUAUUUUAAUGUUUUCAUUUAAUUUAAGCCUAAAAAUCCUCAAAUCUUCUGACAAACAGGAGCGUCUGAAUGUUGCCUCAGAGACAAACAAACAAACAAACAAACAAACAAACCAACAGGUGAGCCCCGUUCCAAACUCUCAUUGUUGGGGUCUGUGCAGGAAGGGGCCCCACAGAGGCCCCACAGAGGCCCCACAGAGGCCCCACAGAGGCCCCACAGAGGCCCCACAGAGGCCCCACAGAGGCCCCACAGGCUGCAGGUGGGACCCACAUCCCAAAUCCCCUCAGCCUCUCCCCCAGGAGGAGGCCGCCCACAGGAGACGUUGCUCCCCCUGGGGCUCAAAUAUCCGCCUAGUGCCCUCAGCUCCACAUUUACUGCUCCUCCUCACCCUCCUCACCCUCCUCACCCUCCUCACCUCCCAAAACAUCAGCAAAGUGUGCAGCAACAAAGCAGGUUAAUGAGGCUGCUGCUGCUGUUUGUUGUGAGCAGAAGCAGGUGAACUCGCUGAAGUCUUUAUUCUGUCGCCUCACAGCUUCAGAAGCAGGAAGUGUGAGCAGAGUUUCAGAUUAAAAGCCUCCGUCCCAGAGAGGACUCAAACAGAAACUUCAGCCCCCAUCAAUAUUUCAGCUGCUAUCGAUCGGACAAUAAAAGGAAUGUUUUCAAAUGUCACACCCCAAAAUAAGUUGAUUAAAAAUAAAUACCCUGUCAUUGAGUCAAAUUGCAGCCGUCAGACGGAGUCCUGCUGGGCUCAGAGUUGGUCCUCAAAGCUCUUUGAAGUCGACCACAGAGAGAAAUCAGCUCAGUCCCAAUAUUUAGCUGCUGUCAGGGAGAAAAUCUACUCUCCUCUGCUUCAGACACUGGAAAUAUGUUCUGACCUGCAUCUGGAGGGAGUUCCUGUCUUUCUUUUCUUUUCUUUCUUUCUUUUUAAAGCAGACUGAGGACCGGAGAGACAGAGGACAGAGUGUGAGUCAUCAUGUGAGUCAUCAGCUUUAGAUAAUUGUGUGACAGGAAUGUGGAACUCUCCCACAAUCCUCUGGAAAGAAAAAAACAACAAAAAAAACUCCUUCAGAGACUUCAGCCAGAAAGCCACAGUGCAGAGGAGGGGAGGGGGAGGCUGUCAAUCACAUGCCUCAUAGCCCCGCCCCCCUCAUUAGGAAGUAAACAAUAAAAAGAGGCGAUGAGAGACGAGAGCAGACACAACCUGGAAGCUCCACCAGGAACCCAGGAACACCACAGGACAGUAGUACCUGGGUAACACCUCAACGGGGGAAGGAGAACUAAACGAACAGCAGGAUUUUAUACCCCUGGAAACCAAUAGCAACCGUAACAGGACCGUAGUACUGCAGUAACACCAGGUAACAUGAAGUAACCAGAGCUGGAGGACAAACACACUGAGACUCACACAGACCUUUAAGCCCCGCCUCCCUCUCUCCCCCUCCUCCCACAGACCUCCCCCUCUAAGCCCCACCUCCCCUCAGACAGGGGAGAAGGGGGAGAGGGGGAGGUAUUCAGAUAACCCUCUGGUAACCAUGUGAUUCUGAACAAUCCACAGAAGAAUGCUCCGGUUCAAAUCCCCAUGAAGCCUCGUCCCCCCACAUUUAUUCAGGACCAGAAGCUCCAAUUCUCUCAAAGCGAAUCCGUCCAUCCAUCUAUCAUCCAUCCAUCCAUCCAUCCAUCAUCCGUCCAUCUAUCUAUCAUCCAUCCAUCCAUCCAUCUAUCAUCCAUCCAUCCAUCUAUCAUCCAUCCAUCCAUCUAUCAUCCAUCCAUCCAUCCAUCCAUCUAUCAUCCAUCCAUCCAUCCAUCCAUCUAUCAUCCAUCUAUCCAUCAUCCAUCCAUCCAUCAUCCAUCCGUCCGUCCAUCUAUCAUCCAUCCGUCCAUCCAUCUAUCAUCCAUCCGUCCAUCCAUCUAACAUCCAUCCGUCCAUCCAUCUAUCAUCCAUCCGUCCAUCCAUCUAACAUCCAUCCGUCCAUCCAUCUAACAUCCAUCCGUCCAUCCAUCUAACAUCCAUCCGUCCAUGCAUCUAACAUCCAUCCGUCCGUCCAUCCAUCCACCAUCCAGUCAUCCAUCCAUCCAUCCAUCAUCCAUCCAUCUAUCAUCCAUCCGUCCAUCCAUCUAUCAUCCAUCCGUCCAUCCAUCUAACAUCCAUCCGUCCGUCCAUCCAUCCACCAUCCAGUCAUCCAUCCAUCCAUCAUCCAUCCAUCUAUCAUCCAUCCAUCCACCAUCCAUUCAUCCAUCCAUCCAUCUAUCAUCCAUCCGUCCAUCUGUCUGCCUCUCCAGAAAUGUGGAGACUCCACAUCAGAGGAUCUCAGACUGUAAACUCUCUCUGGGUCCUCCUCCACCUCUUGUUCUCCACUAAAAAACUCUGAAAGCUGCUUUGGGCCCAAAUCCAAGAAGAAUCAAGAGACAAAAAGUGUCACCAGAGGAGGAGAAAGUCGACAGGACGGAUAAAUAAAAAGCAUCUGGACUAAGAAAAAGAUCCUCUGUGGGUCUCUGAUGAUGAUAGAGACUGGAGGAAAUAAAAGUUAGAGACAGAUCACACACUGAUCAAUAUUCCCUCUGAUCGAUCUCUAAAAGGCUACAACUGAAAAUAAAACAACACAAAAACAAUGAA